rnacentral:rRNA from 1 species
UACGUAGGGUGCAAGCGUUAAUCGGAAUUACUGGGCGUAAAGCGUGCGCAGGCGGUUGUGUAAGACAGAUGUGAAAUCCCCGGGCUCAACCUGGGAACUGCAUUUGCGACUGCACAGCUGGAGUGCGGCAGAGGGGGAUGGAAUUCCGCGUGUAGCAGUGAAAUGCGUAGAUAUGCGGAGGAACACCGAUGGCGAAGGCAAUCCCCUGGGCCUGCACUGACGCUCAUGCACGAAAGCGUGGGCAGCAAACAGG